AUUGAACGCUGGCGGCAUGCUUUACACAUGCAAGUCGAACGGUAACAGGGUGCUUGCACCGCUGACGAGUGGCGAACGGGUGAGUAAUGCGUCGGAACGUGCCGAGUAGUGGGGGAUGACGCAGCGAAAGUUGUGCUAAUACCGCAUACGUACUGAGGUAGAAAGUGGGGGACCUUCGGGCCUCACGCUAUUCGAGCGGCCGACGUCUGAUUAGCUAGUAGGUGAGGUAAAGGCUCACCUAGGCGACGAUCAGUAGCGGGUCUGAGAGGAUGAUCCGCCACACUGGACUGAGACACGGCCCAGACUCCUACGGGAGGCAGCAGUGGGGAAUUUUGGACAAUGGGCGAAAGCCUGAUCCAGCCAUGCCGCGUGUCUGAAGAAGGCCUUCGGGUUGUAAAGGACUUUUGUCAGGGAGGAAAUCCCUAGUGUUAAUAACACUGGGGGGUGACAGUACCUGAAGAAUAAGCACCGGCUAACUACGUGCCAGCCGCCGCGGUAA
rnacentral:rRNA from 1 species